GAGAAUAAGACUGUCUCACUCAUACCCAUAAAAAUCUAUCUUCAGGUGAAGAAGCCUGAAUUAAUAUAAAAGACAAGAAGACCCUGUCGAGCUUUAGCAUACUAUAUGAGCCUUACGCCCAUCCACACCUUCCCUCAUAUCCAGGCUUUUGUUGGGGCGACAACGGAACCUAUCAAUCUUCCGUUAAAAUACAGACCUUACGUCACCCAAAUGAUCCUUUACUGAUCACAAGAUCUAGCUACCGCAGGGAUAACAGACUAAUCUUCCUCCGGAGCCCAAAUCUACAGGAAGGCUUGGCACCUCGAUGUUGGCUUAGGAAAAUCCCCUAGAUGAAGCAGUCUAGGAAGUGGGUUUGUUCAACCCUUAAUAUCCUACGUGAUCUGAGUA
rnacentral:rRNA from 1 species